rnacentral:lncRNA from 1 species
AUAAAAAUAUAAAUAUAAAAUUAAUUUUAUUAUAUUAAAAAUAUAAAUUAUAUAAUUUUAAAUAUAUUUUCAGCUGUCCGUGUGCCUGAUCGGAUCCUGCUGGAUGGUCCGAUUCUGUCAGAUCCUCUGCCACCUGCUGAGUACUCCUUGCUGCUCUACUGUCACGGAGGGCCUCCCAACGUCUGCUCGUAUCUAGUAAUCCCUAUAGGACCUCCAGUUUGAUGGUGACU